rnacentral:lncRNA from 1 species
AGGCAGGAUGACACAGUGUGAGUAAAACUUGACCAGUCACUGUUCACUUUGAGACAGAAGGGACCAGCCAAGAAUUGUGAAUAGUGUACAGAAGCUCUAAAAGCCGUCGAUAUAUAGCUAAGGAUGAUAACAAGCACAACAAGGACUUACAGCAUUUGCUUUGCACCAGACACCAUCUAAAACACUUCACAAAUAUUAACUCAAAGGAACCUAUCAUAAUGCUGUCAUUAUUCCCAGUUCACAGAUGGGGAGGUAAAAACCCAGAGCUUAAUAGCAUGUCCAAGAUCACAUAACUAUUCCACUGCUCAAAAUUACUCCUGAAGGGAUGAGGACACCAGGAUAUGCCACCGGACCACUGAAGGAAUGGUGAUGGUAUGAAGAAAGUAUUUUUAAUGAGCAGAGCCAUUGUUUGCUCUGCUCUGUCCUCACCCCUCAAGAGAAUUUCCCUUAUUAUUAUGAAAACUUUUUAUCUUAAAAGAUAUUACAUGUUAAUGGAACUGUCGUUUAACAAAUGUUUUAUAAGUGUACCAAUCAAGCACAUUGUCGAAAUAAAAGAUAUGAAAUAAGUGAAAAAAAAAAAAA